GACGAACGCUGGCGGCGUGCUUAACACAUGCAAGUCGAACGGAAGGCCCGGGCUUUGUGGGGUGUUCGGGGGGGGACGGGGGGGUAAAGCCUAGGAUUAUCCGCCCUUGUGUUUGGGAACAUCUUAAGAAAGUGGGGCUUAUCACCGACGUGCUGUGCUGGCGCGUGGGGGGGGUUGGGAAGUUUCGGUGGCUGGGGAUGGACGGUCGGCUUAUCUGCUUGGUGGGGGGGGAGUGGGCUACCAAGGCUUUGACGGGUAGGCGGCCUGGGAAGGUGACCAGCCACAUUGGGACUGAGAUACGGACCAGACUCCUACGGUAGGCAGCAGUGGGGAAUAUUGCACAAUGGGCGGAAGCCUGAUGCAGCAACGCCGCGUGCGGGAUGACGGCCUUCGGGUUGUAAACCGCUUUCGCCUGUGACGAAGCGUGAGUGACGGUAAUGGGUAAAGAAGCACCGGCUAACUACGUG
rnacentral:rRNA from 1 species